CGGUCAUAUAUCAUAUUAUUGUUUAGAAAUGUUUACCAUUUCGGGUAAGUAUAUAUUUAUUUAUUUUUAUCUUUUACUCUAUUUUUCACCGAUGAAUACUAACGCUAGGUUGACACGACAUGGUACACUCGGAUCGACUUCACUCGGACCGACUUCACUCGGACUAUGUGCGCGCACCCACUCGGACGCUAUUUGGACCGUUUCAUCCGAGUAGGGUAAAUUCGGAUGACAACCAAACUACUCGGACCGAGUGGCAGACUCGGUCCGAGUACCGCUUCUUCCUCUUUUCUUCUGGUCCCUCGUUCCUUUUUUUCGUCUAUUCUGAUUAUUAAUACCACUGUCCAGCUCCUUCAACCGCAUAUUAGCCAUAACAUCUAUCCCUUUAAGCAGGAGAUCCACCAUUUCACCUCAGACUACAGACAGAGUACACUCGGAACAUGUAAACGAACUUAACACUCGGUCCGAGAGUACUCGGACGAGUCCAUCUCUGAGUGAACUCGAUCCGAGUAAACUCUGAUCGUGUCAACCUAGUUUAGACGAUGGACAUUCUAUGUCCACUACCGCUCAUU
rnacentral:lncRNA from 1 species